rnacentral:rRNA from 1 species
GCAGUUGGAUUUGCCAACAACACCACACCUGUAGCCAUACAAUAUCGGGUGGCUUCAUAGUUAAGAGCGCUCGGGGUAGAGUAGUACCGGGAUGGGUGACCGCCCGGGAAGUCCUAUUAUUUUACAUGCC